AAACAGCUGGCUGCGGCGUUGUGUGCAAGUGUAAAAAGUAUACAAAUUGGUAAUAUGGAGGAAGUUAUUGAAGGAGAUAAGAGUCAGCGGCCUGACGAGAAAUGUAUCUUAGAGGAGGAACUAGCCAGGCCAGAGGAACCUUCUUGUGGAAACAGAAAAACAGCUUGACAAAAUAGAAACAUCAUUAACGAAACCUGCAACCAAUCAUGAGAGCAAUGCCCUAGCGCAGGCACCGGAUCCCCAAGAAGCAAAAAUAUGCGUAUUUGGGGGAAAAAUUCAAGUGUAUGGUUACAUGAAAAAGAAGGUUUUGAGCCAUUUAGAAGAAAAUGGUUGUAGCCCUAGAAGCGUUGAUGAAGUGAUUACUGCUUCGAAAUUUAACAAACAGUAUACUCGGGAAAAUAUGAAGUAUAAUUUUCUCGGUACCUAUUCAUUUAAAUCGCAGUUCGCAUAAAUUGUAGACUAUAUGAAUCAGCGUAUCGAGAUGGCUGAAACUAAUGUACAUGAGGAGUGCGGAUCACUGAGUUUUAACAACAUAGCAAUUUAAAAAAUGGAAUUUGCCAGAGUUAUGCUCAUAUGAACCUGGCUUAGUUAUCAAUGCAAUAGCGAACAAAGAGGAAGAGCUAGAGGGUGUGGAC